UAUCUCUCCAUACAGGGAAGGAUGAGAAGCUUCGACUAAGGUUCGAUUCGAGUGCAGCGAGAAAGCGUUGCCGCAGGCAACGACCCG
rnacentral:sRNA from 2 species